rnacentral:rRNA from 1 species
CCUACGGGGGGCUGCAGUAGGGAAUCUUUCACAAUGGGCGAAAGCCUGAUGGAGCAACGCCGCGUGCAGGAUGAAGGCCUUCGGGUUGUAAACUGCUUUUAUAAGCGAGAAAUAUGAUGGUAACUUAUGAAUAAGGAUCGGCUAACUACGUGCCAGCAGCCGCGGUCAUACGUAGGAUCCGAGCAUUAUCCGGAGUGACUGGGUGUAAAGAGUUGCGUAGGUGGCAUAAUAAGUAGCUAGUGAAAUCGGGUGGCUCAACCAUUCAGACUAUUAGCUAAAAGGUUAAGCUCGAGACCGUUAGGGGUAACUGGAAUGUCUAGUGUAGGAGUGAAAUCCGUAGAUAUUAGAAGGAACACCAAUAGCGUAGGCAGGUUACUGGGACGGUUCUGACACUAAGGCACGAAAGCGUGGGGAGCAAACGGGAUUAGAUACCCUUGUAGUC